GGCAAGUGUCAGCACGGGAGACACACGGCGGGUGCUAACGUCCGUCGUGAAAAGGGAAACAACCCAGACCGCCAGCUAAGGUCCCAAAGUUAUGGUUAAGUGGGAAACGAUGUGGGAAGGCUUAGACAGCUAGGAGGUUGGCUUAGAAGCAGCCAUCCUUUAAAGAAAGCGUAAUAGCUCACUAGUCGAGUCGGCCUGCGCGGAAGAUGUAACGGGGCUCAAACCAUACACCGAAGCUGCGGGUGCAUCGCAAGAUGCGCGGUAGAGGAGCGUUCUGUAAGCCUGUGAAGGUGAACCGAGAGGUUUGCUGGAGGUAUCAGAAGUGCGAAUGCUGACAUGAGUAACGACAAUGGGUGUGAAAAACAUCCACGCCGAAAGACCAAGGUUUCCUGCGCAACGUUAAUCGACGCAGGGUUAGUCGGCCCCUAAGGCGAGGCUGAAAAGCGUAGUCGAUGGGAAGCAGGUUAAUAUUCCUGCACUUCUGGUUACUGCGAUGGAGGGACGGAGAAGGCUAGGCCAGCUUGGCGUUGGUUGUCCAAGUUUAAGGUUGUAGGCUGGACGCUUAGGCAAAUCCGGGCGUUCAAGGCCGAGAGCUGAUGACGAGCUUUCUUUUAGAGAGCGAAGUGGUUGAUGCCCUGCUUCCAAGAAAAGCUUCUAAGCUUCAGGUAACCAGGAACCGUACCCCAAACCGACACAGGUGGUCGGGUAGAGAAUACCAAGGCGCUUGAGAGAACUCGGGUGAAGGAACUAGGCAAAAUGGCACCGUAACUUCGGGAGAAGGUGCGCCGGUGGAGGUGAAGGAUUUACUCCGUAAGCCCCUGCCGGUCGAAGAUACCAGGCCGCUGCGACUGUUUAUUAAAAACACAGCACUCUGCAAACACGAAAGUGGACGUAUAGGGUGUGACGCCUGCCCGGUGCCGGAAGGUUAAUUGAUGGGGUUAGCGCAAGCGAAGCUCUUGAUCGAAGCCCCGGUAAACGGCGGCCGUAACUAUAACGGUCCUAAGGUAGCGAAAUUCCUUGUCGGGUAAGUUCCGACCUGCACGAAUGGCGUAACGAUGGCGGCGCUGUCUCCACCCGAGACUCAGUGAAAUUGAAAUCGCUGUGAAGAUGCAGUGUAUCCGCGGCUAGACGGAAAGACCCCGUGAACCUUUACUGUAGCUUUGCACUGGACUUUGAGCCUGCUUGUGUAGGAUAGGUGGGAGGCUUUGAAGCGUGGACGCCAGUUCGCGUGGAGCCGUCCUUGAAAUACCACCCUGGCAUGCUUGAGGUUCUAACUCUGGUCCGUGAUCCGGAUCGAGGACAGUGUAUGGUGGGCAGUUUGACUGGGGCGGUCUCCUCCCAAAGAGUAACGGAGGAGUACGAAGGUGCGCUCAGACCGGUCGGAAAUCGGUCGCAGAGUAUAAAGGCAAAAGCGCGCUUGACUGCGAGACAGACACGUCGAGCAGGUACGAAAGUAGGUCUUAGUGAUCCGGUGGUUCUGUAUGGAAGGGCCAUCGCUCAACGGAUAAAAGGUACUCCGGGGAUAACAGGCUGAUACCGCCCAAGAGUUCAUAUCGACGGCGGUGUUUGGCACCUCGAUGUCGGCUCAUCACAUCCUGGGGCUGAAGCCGGUCCCAAGGGUAUGGCUGUUCGCCAUUUAAAGUGGUACGCGAGCUGGGUUUAGAACGUCGUGAGACAGUUCGGUCCCUAUCUGCCGUGGACGUUUGAGAUUUGAGAGGGGCUGACCUUAGUACGAGAGGACCGGGUUGGACGAACCUCUGGUGUUCCGGUUGUCACGCCAGUGGCACUGCCGGGUAGCUAUGUUCGGAAGAGAUAACCGCUGAAAGCAUCUAAGCGGGAAACUUGCCUCAAGAUGAGAUCUCACUGGAGCCUCGAGCUCCCUGAAGGGCCGUCGAAGACUACGACGUUGAUAGGCUGGGUGUGUAAGCGUUGUGAGGCGUUGAGCUAACCAGUACUAAUUGCCCGUGAGGCUUGACCAU
rnacentral:rRNA from 1 species